CUACGGGCCGCAGCAGUGGGGAAUAUUGGACAAUGGGCGCAAGCCUGAUCCAGCAAUGCCGCGUGAGUGAAGACGGCCUUAGGGUUGUAAAACUCUUUCGCUAGGGAAGAUAAUGACUGUACCUAGUAAAGAAGUCCUGGCUAACUCCGUGCCAGCAGCCGCGGUAAGACGUAAGGUGCAAGCGUUAUCCGGAAUUACUAGGCGUAAAGGGCAUCUAGGCGGCUAUGUAAGUCAGAGGUGAAAAGUCUGGGCUCAACCGAGGCCUUGCCUUUGAUACCGCAUAGCUAGAGUACGGGAGAGGAGGGCGGAACUACAAGUGUAGAGGUGAAAUUCGUAGAUAUUUGUAGGAAUGCCGAUUACGAAGGUAGCUCUCUGGACCGAUACUGACGCUAAAGUGCGAAAGCUAGGGGAGCGAACAGGAUUAGAUACCCCAGUAGUC
rnacentral:rRNA from 1 species